rnacentral:tRNA from 1 species
GGAGGAGGAUCGGCGCCCGGUGGGCCGCGCGGGCUUCAAACCCGUUGAGACGCGCCAGCGCGUGUCUGGUGGGUUCGACUCCCACCCUCUUCCGCCA